AUCCUCUCAGGGUCGCACCUGGAGAGUUUCCAGUACUCUACCAGACUCAACUAUGGAGGGAGAAUCAAGCAGUCAUACCCAUUCCAUUCCUAGUUUAGCCAGUAGCUAGCGAGUGGAAGGCAAUCUGCCACAAGU